rnacentral:ribozyme from 1 species
UGCCCAGCAACUCCCAUCCCUACCUCCUCGCGGUACUGGCCGGGGUACGAGUAACCUUAGAGAAGAUCGGGUAACCAACCCCCGGUGGGAACUUUGGUCGUAUGCUGACAGGGAAGG